CACAGACAACCAGGAUGUUGGCUUAGAAGCAGCCACUCAUUCAAAGAGUGCGUAAUAGCUCACUGGUCGAGUGAUCCUGCGCCGAAGAUUUCCGGGGCUAAAACUUACUACCGAAGCUACGGCAUCAGUAAUGAUGGGUAGGGGAGCUUCCCAUACGGGUUGAAGCAUGACCGUAAGGACAUGUGGACAGUAUGGGAGUGAGAAUGUUGGCAUGAGUAGCGAGAUGUGGGUGAGAAUCCCACAGGCCGUAAACCCAAGGUUUCCAGGGGAAGGUUCGUCCGCCCUGGGUUAGUCGGGACCUAAGCUGAGGCCGAAAGGCGUAGGUGAUGGACAACAGGUUGAUAUUCCUGUACUACCGAUAACCGUUUGAGAGAAGGGAUGACACAGUAGGAUAAGCUAAGCACACUGUUGGUUAUGUGUGCCCAAGCAUUGAGGCAGUCAAAGUAGGCAAAUCCGCUUUGAUAAUGCUGGGAUGUGAUGGGGAGCGAAAUUUAGUAGCGAAGUAGCUGAUUUCACACUGUCAAGAAAAGUCUCUAUCGAGGUUAAAGGUACCCGUACCGCAAACCGACACAGGUGGGUGAGGAGAGUAUCCUAAGGCCAGCGAGAGAACUGUUGUUAAGGAACUCGGCAAAAUGACCCCGUAACUUAGGGAUAAGGGGUGCCACCAUCAGGUGGCCGCAGAGAAUAGGCCCAAGCGACUGUUUACCAAAAACAUAGGUUUCUGCUAAGUCGCAAGACGAUGUAUAGGAGCUGACGCCUGCCCGGUGCUGGAAGGUUAAGGGGAUCUGUUAGAGUAAUCGAAGCAGUGAACUUAAGCCCCAGUAAACGGCGGCCGUAACUAUAACGGUCCUAAGGUAGCGAAAUUCCUUGUCGGGUAAGUUCCGACCCGCACGAAAGGCGUAACGAUUUGGGCACUGUCUCAACAACAGACUCGGUGAAAUUGUAAUUCCGGUGAAGAUGCCGGAUACCUGCGACAGGACGGAAAGACCCCAUGGAGCUUUACUGUAGCUUGACAUUGGGUCUUGGUACUACAUGUACAGGAUAGGUGGGAGGCUUUGAAACCAGGACGCCAGUUUUGGCGGAGCCAUCCUUGGGAUACCACCCUUGUAGUACUGGGACUCUAACCAUAGGCCAUGAAUCUGGUCUUGGGACACUGUCAGGUGGGCAGUUUGACUGGGGCGGUCGCCUCCCAAAAGGUAACGGAGGCGCUCAAAGGUUCUCUCAGUACGGUCGGAAAUCG
rnacentral:rRNA from 1 species